rnacentral:lncRNA from 1 species
CAACAAUAAUAUUAAUAAUCUUCUCCUUUUUGUUGUCCAAGAAAAGAAAUACUACAAGACAACAAAAGAAAAUCAUUAUGAACUCUCUUCCUUCCAGUACAUACAUAUACAAGGAUUAGAGAUAUCAACUUGUACAGGCACAGGGCACAUGUGUUUUGGGUCGACCACACCAUGCAUGAUCACCAACAAUUAUUUUCAAGAAUCUUCAUGCCCAAACGCUGCUGUGCAUAGCUCACCAGCUUUUCAAACUCUUUGGGGUUGUCUAUUUGGCCACUCUUAUUGCAAUCUGCUUGCUUCAUUCCUUGACGAGCCCUCCACCAUCCAAACCAAACCCUCAGGCUGUGGAGAGCUUCUUUCAGCUCUUCGCGGCUAAUUUGCCCGUUGUGAUCGCUGUCAAACCGGUGAAGCCAAGCUUUGAACUCAUCCACUGUCAUCUCCUGGUCAGGCUGCACCUGCAAACAACUUACUAUGGCCAUCAAUGAAUUUUUCUCUAAGCAGAUAAAAAUCUCUUCAAAGAAGAUAGAAAAUGGAAAUGUAGCUAGAUGGGCAAGCUUUGUUUGCUUCUCUU